rnacentral:sRNA from 1 species
GCCAGGUGCGGUGAUACACACCUGUAAUCCUAGUGACUCGGGAGGCUGAGGCAGGAGGAUCACAUGUUCAAAGCCAGCUUCAGCAACUUAGCAAGACCCUGUCUCAA